rnacentral:pre_miRNA from 1 species
AAAUGAAACACCUAAUGAUCUUAUUAAAAUGCUGGUUCUGAUUCAGUAAGUCUGGAGUAGGACUGAGAUUCUGCAGUUUUAAGAGAGUCUCAAGGGAUUUCAUU